UGCUCAUGCUCUUCUUCCUUCUUUCUUAUAGCUGCCCUUUUGCCCCAGGCUGCUCGUCCAGGUCGCGUGUCUAGGAAGAUCGGCAGGGGCAUGCUACUAGAGGGCCGAGAUGGCGAGAUACAGGAGUCGCGCGACCCGGAGAAGGGACCUGGCAGGGACAAGGAGGUGUGGACCUGGAGAAGGGAUCUGGCCGGUCAGCCGAUUUGUCUUCUUCGCUGCCUACGACUACUAGCCUCUUUCUUGCAAAUGUUGUCAUCCUUUGUCUAGCAGGGUCAUAGGAGAAAGCUGAGGAUGUCGAGCCGAGGUGAGCCUCGCUGGUUUGCUGCUCAACGGGAGAAGCACGGUCACCCCUCCAGAGAGAAACGAGUACAUUGCGUCUAGGUGGUGACUUUGUUGCUGGGUUCUACCUUCACAACCUGAUAUCGGAGGUUCAUGUUAAGCUUUGGCGUUUGCAUAAAUUUUUUUAUUUCGAUGAUUUAUCAGCCUGGAAUAGAUAUGAUGCACAUUGAUGCAAUAAUUUGUGUGAUAUUUUGCAGUUUUGAAAUUUCAUUUGUAGCUCGGUUAUAGAAGUGUAUUCUCAGCACCUUUUACAGUAGAAUUAGUAUUAAGAAUAGCUUGGUUUGGUGCAAGCCACGUAAGGUUAGUUGAGAAGAUCAUGUAUAUUGUUGAUUCCCAAUCGAUUAUUGUACCCAUCCUUACACUAGAUUAUAUGCCUGAAGGUAGACGGUUGUCCAGAUACCUCUACUCUGAAUAAUUGCUUUAGAAAUGCAGUUCUUCACCUUUGCAUUAUCAUGCUUUGUCUCUUUUUGUGGAAGACUAUCUAAAAAAAUGUACCCACAAGCAUUCGCCAGACAUCUUUAGAAUUAUGGAGAGUUGUUAAUGGUGCCUCAUUUGGCUCAU